GACGAACGCUGGCGGCGUGCUUAACACAUGCAAGUCGAACGGAAAGGCCCUGCUUUUGUGGGGUGCUCGAGUGGCGAACGGGUGAGUAACACGUGAGUAACCUGCCCUUGACUUUGUGAUAACUUCAGGAAACUGGGGCUCAUACCGGAUAGGAGCUCCUGCUGCAUGGUGGGGGUUGGAAAGUUUCGGCGGUUGGGGCUGGACUCGCGGCUUAUCAGCUUGUUGGUGGGGUAGUGGCUUACCAAGGCUUUGACGGGUAGCCGGCCUGAGAGGGUGACCGGCCACAUUGGGACUGAGAUACGGCCCAGAAUCCUACGGGAGGCAGCAGUGGGGAAUAUUGCACAAUGGGCGGAAGCCUGAUGCAGCAACGCCGCGUGCGGGAUGACGGCCUUCGGGUUGUAAACCGCUUUCGCCUGUGACGAAGCGUGAGUGACGGUAAUGGGUAAAGAAGCACCGGCUAACUACGUG
rnacentral:rRNA from 1 species